AGCUCGUAGGCGGUUUGUCGCGUCUGUCGUGAAAGUCCGGGGCUUNACCCCGGAUCUGCGGUGGGUACGGGCAGACUAGAGUGCAGUAGGGGAGACUGGAAUUCCUGGUGUAGCGGUGGAAUGCGCAGAUAUCAGGAGGAACACCGAUGGCGAAGGCAGGUCUCUGGGCUGUAACUGACGCUGAGGAGCGAAAGCAUGGGGAGCGAACAGGAUUAGAUACCCUGGUAGUCCAUGCCGUAAACGUUGGGCACUAGGUGUGGGGACCAUUCCACGGUUUCCGCGCCGCAGCUAACGCAUUAAGUGCCCCGCCUGGGGAGUACGGCCGCAAGGCUAAAACUCAAAGGAAUUGACGGGGGCCCGCACAAGCGGCGGAGCAUGCGGAUUAAUUCGAUGCAACGCGAAGAACCUUACCAAGGCUUGACAUGUUCUCGAUCGCCGUAGAGAUACGGUUUCCCCUUUGGGGCGGGUUCACAGGUGGUGCAUGGUUGUCGUCAGCUCGUGUCGUGAGAUGUUGGGUUAAGUCCCGCAACGAGCGCAACCCUCGUUCCAUGUUGCCAGCACGUCNUGGUGGGGACUCAUGGGAGACUGCCGGGGUCAACUCGGAGGAAGGUGAGGACGACGUCAAAUCAUCAUGCCCCUUAUGUCUUGGGCUUCACGCAUGCUACAAUGGCCGGUACAAUGGGUUGCGAUACUGUGAGGUGGAGCUAAUCCCAAAAAGCCGGUCUCAGUUCGGAUUGGGGUCUGCAACUCGACCCCAUGAAGUCGGAGUCGCUAGUAAUCGCAGAUCAGCAACGCUGCGGUGAAUACGUUUCCCGGGCCUUGUACACACCGCCCGUCAAGUCACGAAAGUUGGUAACACCCGAAGCCGGUGGCCUAACCCUUGUGGGGGGAGCCGUC
rnacentral:rRNA from 1 species